GACAUAUGGGUAGAUGGCAGUAUGGAAAUUAUGCACAUCCUUUUUUUAUCUUCCUAUGUUGAAAACUCUGGUUGCUAUGGCAACAAAUAGACUGAAUUUCAAGAUUUCUGAUUCUAGUUUUUAAGUUUUUUCACUAUAAGUUCUUUAUUUCUUAAGGUAUUUUCUUCAAACUUUAAAUAUAAGUUGCUAGUCAUCAACCACAUCAUAUGCCACAAGGUUUACAACUCUAGCACAAAAUUUAUUUGAAUUACCUCCCUUGAACAAGGUACGUAUAUUAACGGUAUCCGCAACAAGGUUUUAGACCGUGAUUGCUAUCGUGUCGGUCGUGCGCAUGCGCACAUGCUACCAAAAAAAUUAAUCGAUGGUGGACGGAGCAAUUUUUAUUGAUGAAAAAUCUGUAAAUUAAGUGUUAAUUUACGAGCAUCGGCACAAAAUACUCAAGAAAUAAUGACAGGUUGAUUAACAAGUUGGCAGAAAUCAUUGGUAUUGUCUAAAGUUUUCAUAAUGCCAGCCCGAAAGAAGUCAAGACUUGCCUAUAAAAAGAAAUACUCUGUUCCAUCCGGUUCCGAAAAAGUUCGCAAAAAGUCUCUUUUAUCGAAGAUUGAUGAUGCAGCAGAAUCAGAUGCAGUCUUCUCAACUAUGUUUGACGUCUUUUUACCAGACGAAAUUUGCUCUGUUGAUAUACAUAAUGAGUAAAGUCCUGUCGAAUUUGUUGACAGUGAUGGGUCUUCUGCAAAUGAAUUUGUAGUUUGUUUGGAUAAACCGUAUACAUUCUCACCAGAUGUUGUACUUGAAGACUUUAUUGCGAGUCAGAAAUGUCGCAUAUUUAGUCAACUUAGGGAUAGUUGUAAACAUGAAUUAAAAACAGGCAGUAAUUUUAUCUACAUGACAAACUCGUCGGAUAUGAAGUAUGUCGAACUUUAUGAUAGCAAUGACCAUUGGGAAAUACCAAGAGUUAAGACAUGUGUAAGGGUAAACAAAGACUUAAUGGUAAAUAUCAUGGUCCAUGGCAAAUCUUUGCCUGACAGUCAUAGUAUUUAUGAAAAGAUUGGAAGAUGUUGUUAUUCUGUCAAGUGUGUUCAGAAAGUACUUGAUGUUGUUAGUCAAUACCAUAUUUGUGAAAGAAACCAAGACUCUGAUCUCCAAGACCUUAUUCCAGUGGGAGCUUUUUUUGAUGUGUCGGAGGGAUAUAAAUAUCAAGGUUACUGUGAAUCUUUUUACAUCAAGUCAACAAUAAGAUCAACAAAAUGUGAUUUUUUGGAAGAAAGAAUGGUAGUCGAUGUGUUAAUUGUCAGACUUACCGUAGAACACUGCGCAAAACACUUCAUCAUAGAUCAAGUACCCCUAAAGUAGCUACACCACAGAAGGAUUGGACUAAAUGUAAGACAUCUAUUAAAAACUUGACAGAAAAUCAAAAACUUCACAAAAUCAAACAAUUAAAAGACUACAGCCAGCAAUUAGAAUUAGAAAAUGUACAAUUAAGACGAGAAAUAACGAAGAAAAAUUAAAACUGAAGGUGUCCGCUUAUCAGAGGGAGAAAAUAAAGACCUGUCGGAACUCAUGGAAAGUUGUGAAAAUGAAAUGAAAAAAAUUCACCCGGAUGAAUCUUCUUACAGCAACAACUGAAGUGUUCUAAACUGAAAGAUAAACAUGGUAUGCGCUGGCACCCAUCAAUCAUCAAAUGGUGCAUUUAUUUAAAAAGUAAAAGUUCAACAACUUAUGACACUUUAAGAAAUUCUGGUUUUAUUAAACCGCCCUCUGGAAGAACCCUGUUUGACAACACAAAUGCAAAUGCCAAAGGAAUAGGAUUUCUUGAAGGCAACGUUGAGAUGCUUCUAGAUGAAACAGAAGGAUUCACAGGUCAUCAGAGGAUUGUUGGAUUGCUGCAGGAUGAGGUUAAAAUUAAAAGUGACCUUGUAUAUGACCGGCAUUCUGGGGAACUGAUAGGCUUUGUAAAUUUAGGUGCUAUUAAUAAUAGUUUGAGUGAACUGCAAAAUGAAAAUGACACUUUAGCAAAAUAUUUGUUAGGUGUAAUGGUUGGUGGUGUAUCAUCCAAUUUGAAAUUCCC